ACUCCUACGGGAGGCAGCAGUGGGGAAUAUUGCACAAUGGGGGAAACCCUGAUGCAGCAACGCCGCGUGAGUGAUGACGGUCUUCGGAUUGUAAAACUCUGUCUUUAGGGACGAUAAUGACGGUACCUAAGGAGGAAGCCACGGCUAACUACGUGCCAGCAGCCGCGGUAAUACAGAGGGGGCAAGCGUUGUUCGGAAUUAUUGGGCGUAAAGGGCGCGUAGGCGGUGCGGUAAGUCAGGCGUGAAAGCCCCGGGCUCAACCCGGGAAUUGCGCUUGAUACUGUUGCGCUUGAAUCCAGGAGAGGAUGGCGGAAUUCCCAGUGUAGAGGUGAAAUUCGUAGAUAUUGGGAAGAACACCCGUGGCUAAGGCGGCUCUCUAGUACGGUACUGACGCUGAGACGCGAAAGCGUGGGGAGCAAACAGGAUUAGAUACCCUGGUAGUCCACGCUGUAAACGAUGUGUGCUUGACGUCGGAGGGCAUAGCCCAUCGGUGUCGGAGCUAACGCGGUAAGCACACCGCCUGGGGAGUACGGUCGCAAGGCUGAAACUUAAAGGAAUUGACG
rnacentral:rRNA from 1 species